rnacentral:rRNA from 1 species
CCUACGGGAGGCAGCAGUGAGGAAUAUUGGUCAAUGGACGUAAGCCUGAACCAGCCAAGUCGCGUGAGGGAUGAAUGUUCUAUGGAUCGUAAACCUCUUUUAUAAGGGAAUAAAGUGUGGCACGUGUGCGGUUUUGUAUGUACCUUAUGAAUAAGGAUCGGCUAACUCCGUGCCAGCAGCCGCGGUAAUACGGAGGAUCCGAGCGUUAUCCGGAUUUAUUGGGUUUAAAGGGUGCGUAGGCGGCUUGUUAAGUCAGCGGUGAAAGUCUGUGGCUCAACCGUAAAAUUGCAGUUGAAACUGGGAGGCUUGAGUACGUUAGAGGUGGGCGGAAUUCGUGGUGUAGCGGUGAAAUGCUUAGAUAUCACGCAGAACUCCGAUUGCGAAGGCAG